rnacentral:rRNA from 1 species
UUCGACGCAACGCGAAGAACCUUACCUAGGCUUGACACGUCCCGGGAAUCCUGAUGAAGUCGGGAGUGCCCCGCAAGGGGGAGCCCCGGAGACAGGUGCUGCAUGGCUGUCGUCAGCUCGUGUCGUGAGAUGUUGGGUUAAGUCCCGCAACGAGCGCAACCCUCGCCUUUAGUUGCCAGCAUUUAGUUGGGCACUCUAGAGGGACUGCCGGUGUUAAACCGGAGGAAGGUGGGGAUGACGUCAAGUCCUCAUGGCCUUUAUGCCUAGGGCUACACACGUGCUACAAUGGUUGGUACAACGAGUUGCGAGUCGGUGACGGCGAGCUAAUCUCUUAAAGCCAAUCUCAGUUCGGAUUGUAGGCUGCAACUCGCCUACAUGAAGUCGGAAUCGCUAGUAAUCGCGGAUCAGCACGCCGCGGUGAAUACGUUCCCGGGCCUU